rnacentral:rRNA from 1 species
UACGUAGGGGGCAAGCGUUGUCCGGAUUUAUUGGGCGUAAAGAGCGUGUAGGCGGUUUGGUAGGUCCGCUGUGAAAACUCGAGGCUCAACCUCGAGACGCCGGUGGAAACCAUCAGACUAGAGUCCGGAAGAGGAGACUGGAAUUCCUGGUGUAGCGGUGAAAUGCGCAGAUAUCAGGAGGAACACCGGUGGCGAAGGCGGGUCUCUGGGCCGAUACUGACGCUGAGGAGCGAAAGCGUGGGGAGCGAACAGG